UCUCUGGCGUCAGAGUAAUGCAACCAGAAGACUGCAUUACUUUUUGCAUUGCAGGAGAUGUGGGGUGUGUGUCUGGGGGGUGCAUUUGCGAGGAGAGACUGCGCUGCGAGUCGAACAAAAGGGACCAAGCAACUUUCUGCAGGAAAAAGGGGGCUUCUCUUUCUCUCUCUCUCUCUCCCCCCCCCCCCCCCAAAGUUCUCCCGCUUUCCUCCUCGCCUUCCUCCCGGACAGGACGUUUGCAAGCCCAACUUCCCAAAGGAAACAACCCCGGGCAAAAUGUGACACCACCCAAGCAAGUGCCAAGGAGCCUUUGGCAGAGGAGGAGGAGGAGGAGGAGGCGCCUUCUGGGCUGCGGAUCCCGGCCUGGCCUUUGCGAGGGACUAACGGGCAGCAAAGUAAUGCAGGAGCUGCUGCUGCUGCUGCUGGUGUUGCAACUGCAACUGCAACCGCAGCGGCCCCGGCAGGCAGCAGGAUCCCUUGGAGCUCCAGCUCUCCAUCAAAAAGCUCGGCGCAAUGGCCAGAAGGGCAAAGGAUCGAGAGAGAAAAGGAGAGAGGUGCAAUGCAUCUCGCCACCAGCUCCACCUCUCCGCCAAAAAGCUCGAACCCAAAGGUUGCUGAACAACAACAACAGCAGCAGCAACAACAACAACCCAAAGUGCUAAAGGAGUUUAGGAGAAUAAAGCAAUGCAGUCAUCGAGGGGAGGGAGGGAGGGGAGGUGCAUGCAGCAGGCGGUGUACUUUAUGCCACACUUUCCCAAACAACAACAACAACCCCUUGCAAAGCAGCGAAGGGGCUCUCUCUGUGUGUUGUGUUGUUCCCCUUCCAUGCCUCCCGCCGCCUCGGAAGCACCAAACAAAACAGAGGACUAAAGCUGCACAAUGCUGCAUGGCAAUGUAUAUAAAGACUACGUGAGAAACUUUAAGAGGCGUCUUGGGUGGAUUGCCUUCACAUGUAUGUGGGACGCACACACACACAAGGUGUGUUUAUGCACAUCUGCACUGCAGAAAUAAUCCGAUUUGACACUAACUGCCAUGGCUCAGUGCUGUGGGAAGGUUUUUUGUGGCAUAUAUGAAAAAGUUGGUUUGACCCGUAAGACAUGUAUAUAGCUAACUACCCAUCUGGUUAGUACAAGUACAUCCAAACUCCACACAACAGUGAUAUACAUGAUGUAUUGUGUAUUGGACUGAUUUUUAGAUGUACACUGCUUUGAUUGUUUGGCAACAAAAAAGUGGGAUAUAAAUAAAGUAUUAUUAUUAUUA